CCUACGGGUGGCCGCAGUGGGGAAUAUUGCACAAUGGGGGAAACCCUGAUGCAGCGACGCCGCGUGAGUUAAGAAGUAUCUCGGUACGUAAAGCUCUUUCAGCAGGGAAGAAAAUUACGGUACCUGACUAAGAAGCCCCGGCUAACUACGUGCCAGCAGCCGCGGUAAUACGUAGGGGGCCAGCGUUAUCCGGAUUUACUGGGUGUAAAGGGAGCGUAGAUGGCAGCACAAGUCUGGAGUGAAAUUCCGGGGCGUAACCCCGGAACUGCUUUGGAAACUGUGCGGCUGGAGUGCAGGAGGGGUAGGCGGAAUUCGUGGUGUAGCGGUGAAAUGCGUAGAUAUUAGGAGGAACACCGGUGGCGAAGGCGGCUUACUGGACUGUAACUGACGUUGAGGCUCGAAAGCGUGGGGAGCAAACAGGAUUAGAUACCCUUGUAGUC
rnacentral:rRNA from 1 species